AACGAACGCUGGCGGCAUGCCUAACACAUGCAAGUCGAACGAAACCUUCGGGUCUAGUGGCGCACGGGUGCGUAACGCGUGGGAACCAGCCCUUAGGUACGGAAUACCUCCCCGAAAGGGGUGCUCAUACAGGUUAAUCUCUUAGGACCAAAGAUUUAUCGCCGUGGGAUGGGCCCGGGUUGGAUUCGCUGGUUGGUAGGGUAAAAGCCUACCAUGGCGACGAUGCAUAGCUGGUCUGAGAGGAGGAUCAGCCAGACUGGGACUGAGACACGGCCCAGACUCCGACGGGAGGCAGCAGUAGGGAAUAUUGGACAAGGGGCGAAAGCCUGAUCCAGCAAUGCCGCGUGUGUGAUGAAGGCCGUAGGGUUGUAAAGCUCUUUUACCCGGGAUGAGAAUGACAGUACCGGGAGAAUAAGCACCGGCUAACUCCGUG
rnacentral:rRNA from 1 species